rnacentral:lncRNA from 1 species
GCCCUCCACCGACCCUCCACCGGCAUCCAUCCCUCUCCCUCCCUCUCUCUUUUUCUCUUUCAGCGUGUUGUCUCCUUCAUCGAUACAGACCUAGCACGGCCCGUACCGACUCUUGCCACCGGAAAACCGAUACGAUGCCCGAUACUGGUUCCUCCGACCUUGAUGUCAAAGCAUAUGCCAUAAAUACACUUGACAAGAUCAGUAGCCUUUCCCAUCCAGAGUAAUGUCCAUAUCCAUCACAAGGCAAUGACAUAAGGUAUUA